UACGGAGGGUGCAAGCAUUAAUCGGAUUUAUUGGGCAUAAAGGGCGCGUAGGCGGACCGGCAAGUCAGAUGUGAAAUCCUGAGGCUCAACCUCAGAACAGCAUUUGAAACUCCCGGUCUUGAGGGUAGGCGGAGAAAACGGAAUUCCACAAGUAGCGGUGAAAUGCGUAGAUAUGUGGAAGAACAUCGGUGGCGAAGGCGGUUUUCUAGCUUAUUUCCUGACGCUGAGGCGCGAAAGCAAGGGGAUCAAACAGG
rnacentral:rRNA from 1 species